rnacentral:rRNA from 1 species
AUUGAACGCUGGCGGCGUGCCUAACACAUGCAAGUCGAGCGGUAACAGGUGUAGCAAUACAUGCUGACGAGCGGCGGACGGGUGAGUAACGCUUGGGAAUCUGCCUGUUAGUGGGGGACAACCCGGGGAAACUCGGGCUAAUACCGCAUACGCACUACGGUGGAAAGCCGGGGACCGCAAGGCCUGGCGCUAACAGAUGAGCCCAAGUCGGAUUAGCUAGUUGGUAGGGAACGGCCUACCAAGGCGACGAUCCGUAACUGGUCUGAGAGGACGACCAGUCACACCGGAACUGAGACACGGUCCGGACUCCUACGGGAGGCAGCAGUGGGGAAUAUUGGACAAUGGGCGAAAGCCUGAUCCAGCGACGCCGCGUGGGUGAAGAAGGCCUGCGGGUUGUAAACCUCUUUCAGCUCCGACGAAGCGAGAGUGACGGUAGGAGCAGAAGAAGCACCGGCCAACUACGUGCCAGCAGCCGCAGUAAU